UGCAAUGAUGAUGAUGAUAAUGAUAAUAACACAGUAACAAAUGCAGUAAUAACACAGUGAUAAAUACGAUGAUAAUAAUAGCAAAGCACAAAAAGGCAGAAGCGGUGUAGUAAUAAAUGCAACGAUAAUAAAACAGUAAUAAAUGCGAUGAUGAUGAUAAUAAGUGCGCAGUAAUAAAGGCAUGCGUUACCAGCGGGUCGGUAUUGUCCUGCGUCGGCUGUAGCAGAGAGAGAGGAGAUGUGGAAAGGAAAGCCCUGUGUCAGCAGCACGUUGCUGGUUAAUGAUCUAUUAAGUGAUGCGUGCUUUGCUUAGCGUUGCUUAUGGACAGGGCAGGAAAAGUGUUGAUGUUGCUUCUUCUCUUAAUGAGAUUCCACAUCCUACGAAUUUUUAGGAACGGAUAACGGGAAUAAAGUCGGGGCUGCAGCACUUCAGCAUGGAGCACUCGCGGGGUGGACAUGCUGCAGGACACCGUGGCGCUCUGUUACUGCAGCAGCAUCAGCGUACACACUCGGGCCUACACCUACACUGAAACACACACUCACACACACACUCACACACACACACUCUCUUUAUUAGCUCGUUUAUAACACACACAGGACGGGACGCCAGAUUUUGGAUUUUUUUCUGUGAUCUCGGAUAGAGGAGUUUAAAUCCUGGACAUGAAGGAGGUCCAGGAGCUGGUCACCAAUCUUGAAGAAAAGUCUCACAUGCUUUGUGGAGCUCAUCACAGUCUCAGCAAGGGUUUCUUGGGAUGGAAUGACCUCAUGGAGCAUGCAACAAAAAGCAGAAUGGGCUUCAUUCAUGUUGGAAGAAGGUUCAGGCCUCUUUGGACCCAGAAGAGGGAGGACGUCUGUAAUCGUCUGUAAUCAUCUGUAACUGCACCAACUCGACAUCUUUGGCAGCAAAAAAUUGUUCUUGACCUCAACUCCUCCUCCUCCUCCUCCUCUCCUCCUCCUCCUACCAUCCCGGAGGAUUAGCCUUAGCCAUGAACCCGUAGCAGAUUAUUAGGCCCUUUACCCGUCUCGGCUCUGGCGCUGAUGCGAGCUCUGUGAUGGCUCUAAUGGACAACUAAUUGGUCGACUCCUCUGUCCCGGUCGUCCAGCUCCUCUUCGCUCUCUCAGACUCUGUGGCGCUGGACGGCCGGUGUGUGUAUGAGGGGGGCUGGAAUGGAAGUAAUUAGCCAUCCUACACACUCGACAAGAUAAAUGAAGACUCGUUGGGCGUCCGGUUCCAGGACAGUUGAUUGGGCAGGUACGCCGGGAGCAUCUCAGUCCUCUGGAGCGUGUCCAGGGCUGGUAAUUAACUCCACAGUGCUCGCUGUGUGUCUGUGUAAAGCCGUACUCCUCCCACUUAGGAGGUGCCUUUAGCAACAAAUUGGCUUCUAUUGUCAGGCUUGUAGAGUGAUUAUGAAAUAUUGUUUAAUUUGCUGGGCGGUGGAGUCGGAGGGGGGCUGAUUUUGAUGAAUCGAGCGUUUUUAUUUCAUCAUCCGUUUAUUGUCUUGCGCUGCGAGAACCGUCCGGGGUUCGGCGUUCAGGGAGCGCGUGGGACGACCGAGACGAGUGCAGGCCGUGGUUCAAACCAUCCUCACCAAUCACCGCGGAGCGCUUUAAAAUAAACCUCACCAAUCACGGCUCCUGAUUGUCCUCGGAGGCCCCGGCAUGGGACAGCUGCAUUAAUAAUGAGUCAAACACCUGAAAUUUUCGCAUUAUGUGCAACAUAGCAAGAAGUGAAAGAGAGGAAGUGGGACUCUGGGAAAAAGAAAGUAAGAUAGAUGAUGGGGAAAGGAAAGGACAAAUAAAGAAGCCAAUAAAGAACGAAAACAAAACAGUGCUAAAGUAAGAAUAAUACACAGCGUGUGCUACUGUUACUGUAAACUAAUCAAUGAUGGGGUGGUGUGAGGAAGCAGAGUCACUGUUACUACCUCAGAAUAUCCUGAGUUUUAUAGUCCUGUGUUUUAUUCCUCUUUUAAUUUUCCACAAAUUUCCUUUUUACAUCCAUUUAUAGUUACCUUUAAGGUUUUGAGACAUCUGCAAAACGAGUGAGUUCCUGUCAAACAAGCGCAGCUGGUCACGUUACCAGGAAAACGUUAGAAAGUUUUUCUAUGAGCUGUUACAAUAGAAACCAUAACCAAUCAGAACUAGUGUGUUCAUCCGUCUUCACCAAUCAGAAUCCAGCGUUCCACUCGGCAGCACUGUGGUAUGAAGGAACGUAAUAAAAGCGUGUAAAACAUGCACACAGGAAGCUCCGGCGUGUGCGCCGAGACGACUCGAGCCGCUCUAAUUGAUUUAGCGCUUAUCGACAGAGACGCUGAAAAGCCGCCUCUCCGUCCUGCCUCAGAUUGAAUUAAACACCUUUUAUGGGUCGGGAUCAAUAGAGCGAGGAUGAUUGGAGCUGUGGGGAGUAAAUAUAUACAGACAAAGACAGAGCGUUAUGAUAUGUAGACAUGCGAGGUCUGACUUCUGGUCUCCCGCGUGGCCAAAACACAUCCAGUGAGAUGGUGUAAUUCACGCAAAUCAAUGCUUUUAAAGCAUUUAGCCGCGGCAUGUUAUAAACAAAAUACUCUGGGAGAGUAAUAUAGCAGCAGUGUAUCAGUCAGGAGGAGAAGAUGAGCAGAGGUGCACCAGUAAGAGACUUUCUCUUUUCUAUUCUUUUUCUGAUUUUAGACUUCCGUCUGAAAAAGAGGACAGAAACAGCUUUUGUUUUCAGCAGGAAUAGUGCGUAGUGUAAAAAAUUAAAAAAAUUAAAUAAGGAAAAAAAUGAAAUAAGGAACUUUCAUUAAAAAGAGGCAAAAUUUAAUAAAUAAAUAAAUAAAUAAAUAAACAAAACCACAUAAAAAAUUUUUAAAAAAAGAAAAAAGUUGAAGAACAAACAUCCAGUUAAAUUAUCUAAAUCCAAAUAAAUAAAUAAAUAAAUAAAUAUUUUUUAAAAAUAAUAAAUAAAUAAGUAAAAAUCACCCUUCAUGUAUUUUAUCCUUUUAGAGGUCUAUUUAAUUUUGUAGAAUGACCGAGUUCCUGUUGUCACUUACAUUAUAGCAGCUAUAAACAUUCAUUACUUCACCAACCUCUCUCUAUUCUCUCUUAAAAACAAAAACAUGAAAUUGCAGCUUGUCGUGUUACUGAGAAACCGCAAAGGUGUGUAACCUCCUCUGUCCUGAAGAUAUCGGAAAACUUUUCAAAAAACAGAAGGUACAGCUUUCCUUCUGACUGACACUGGAGACUCCUUCCCUACACGAUACACACCACAAACCAGCAGCAUGUGCAGUCCCUCAGUAUGAGCUGUUACUAAAGAAACAAUAGUAUGUGUCCUUGGUGAAAAGUCAGGUUUAAGAGUUAUUCAGGGCUACUCAGGGGUCAUCAGUGGCUCUUUGGCAAGUCUUGGGGUUCAUUACGACAUCAUUCGCCAGCAACUCGCCGCUACACGUCUCAACUUCCAAUCAAUGACACGUGAAUCAGUGCCAACCAAUCGACUGUCCAGGUGAGAUCACCAAGCAGCCAAUAAACCUGGAUCUAUCAAAACGUCCUUUCAUGACAACAGAUACGCAUAUAAUGGUGUCAUUAGGCCGUCUUCUAAAAUAUUAAUCACCGCUAACUCGAUCAGCGUCAUGCGCUAACCAUCUUUAAUGAACUCCCCGAUCUUUGCUGAUUGGUUUACGAGAACGAGUCCAAUCACCGCUCACCGGUCUAACCACAGACCCUCGCAUGACAUCAUCGCCAUGCAAUCGGCAGAUCCCGAGUGGCGCGUUCCGGCGAUAACAUCAACCUACUGCGUGCCUGCUAAUCUCGCUAACUAUUCGUACGAGCGCGGCUGAAAGAGCUCGUUAGAAAGCGAUUAACUGCAUUCAGGAGUAUCAGGUGGAGCUUUGCGGCUGAUUGUGUCAUGGUGUAUUAGCAUUCAAAAUCUAGCUUUCCAUUUAUUUAAUGCAAUAAGCAGAGACGUCCACUUUGGGAUGAAAUGCGUGUCACAUCACUCAGCGGUCAGAUAUUUGAGUUUGGCGUCUGGGCAUGGGGUAAUAUGCAGCAAGAAAAUAAACAAUUCUUUAAAGUCUAAAAAUCCAGUGUGCAGACUUAACAUAGUUUUGUUUUUUCUACCGUUUAAUGUCAGAAACUCUCUUCAAGCUAAUACGUUAGUGAGAAACAAUGACACUGGAGACUCCUUCCUUAAACUGUCACCAUAGCAACACAUGUUAUCACUGAAUAAUAAUUUUUUCUUUUUUUUGUUCAUUAACAGUUUUAGCUCACAUGUAGCAUCCUUCAGAUGAGCUGUUACUAUAGCAACAGCAUGGAAUUAAAACCGAUGUAAAAGUUUAUACCGUAAUUAUUUUCUGUGCUUGAAGGUUUUCAUGCUAAUCAGCGACUCUGCUAGCUAGCAAGAAAUACCAGCACGGUGCUAAGGUAAAGGGUCAAAGUUUGCACUGCAGUCGUCUUGCUUGAUGAGAAACUUGGGUUAAUCAUUUUAUAGUUAAUCUUUUCCUCCGGUACAGCAAACAUCCUCCUGACUUAAGGUUAUUUAUCUGGAUGUAAACAAGGCUCUUAGCCGGCUUUAAUCCUGUCCUGCAUUUUUGUUUUUUUGUUUUUUUUUUAAUUUUAUUUCCUCAGCGUUCCUAAGAGGGAAAGAAAGAAGCAGGAAAUCAGAGACGCUGAGGGACAGAUCACUGGAUUUAUACCCGGAGAUCUGGACAGUGUCCAUGUGUGAGAGCUGAUUUACGGGCAGCGAGGAGAUGAACGAUCUCACGGUGAUAAAAACAACAUGGUUUUAAAGCAGCACAGGGGCGUCAGCGCUUGCACAGAGGGCCUGCUAGCUUACAGGAACAGCACGUAGAUGUUGAUUUAGAGAAACAACUCAAUUUAGAUGAAACCCCUGAAGAUGGAGGUGAUGGAGAUGAUUCUCUCUCAUAAGGUCCUGACUCAGAUAAGCAUUCACCAAAGUGAAAAACUGGUAAAUGUGUUGCAUUAACAGCUAAUUAUUACCGAAGUUAGCGUAAGUAAAGCUGCAAAUCGCAGGUUUGUGUAGGUGGAGUGUUUGAGUCCUCACUGAGAAACACCUCCUAACACUCCAGUGUUGUAUAAAGACUUACACAUCCAAUGCACAAUCAAAAAAAAGGUGGAAUGCUACAAAUGAAAGCGAAAGAAAAAAUUCAUUUUUAGGUCACUCUUUCACAGGAAAAAAAAAAAAAAUGUCCAAUAAGUUCAUGGUGGAGAAUAUCUAAUAUUCAGACGAAAAAUCGGUGUUGAAUGAUGUGAUGUGAUGUGAUGGAGUUGAUGGAUGAGUGGAUGUGAGGAACGUGCUGACAGAUAAAUUUGAUUUAGCCAAAUGAGAAAAGAGAGAGAGAAAGAGAGAGAGGGAGAAUGUUGGUGAGAAAGGAAGAUAAAAAGAAAUGAAGGAGUGCUCUGCAUGCGUAUCAAUAUAAAUCAAUGAUCAAUCAAUAGCACUUUUCAAUUUGCAUGAAUUAAGUUGAACAUCUUUUAUUCUCUCUCUCCACCAGCCGAGAGACGGAUGAGGAACGCUCUUCAUUUCUUCUCCUUCGCCAACCUCUCGGUCUUUCCUCUCCAUCCGUUCGUCUUUCCGUGCUCGGUGUUUAAAAGGUGACAUUGGGCCAUGCGUGACGUGAGAAGCCCACAUUGGACUUGACAGCGAGAAGUGAAAUUGAAUUCAUGCGCACUGCUUUCAGUGAAUCAGAUCUGGCACAGGAGCAGCGUCACACUCAGGCUGGAAUCAAUAGAUUUAGUCUGGGACGUGAACUCUGGCCUCAGAACGCAAGAUAAAUACCAGAACCUGGUUAUGACCUGGUUACGACUGCCUACGCACAGCACAAGAGGGAGAGAGACUCAGGAGAAGACCAUGUGUCCAUGUGGAACAACUGGAACAAGAUCGCUAAGCAGGAGGACAGAAAUGAACAUCGAGGUCUAGGAAUAAAUGUCGUAAGUCGUAGUCCAGAAAAAAAUCAUAGUAGAGAAAUAAAUAUUGUAGUCCAGAAAAAAAAAGUUCAGUUCAAAAAAUGAAGGUCUUACUCCUCAGGGUCUGCAAAACACUUAAGCAUGCAGUAGAACCCUUGAAGGGUGCUAGGUUCUAAAGAGGUUUUCUCAUAACUUUUUCUGAAACACAGCCUCUAUUAUACACUGAAUAAACCCUUAAAGGGAUCUCCCAGGUGAAAAAACCAAAAGAGACCGAAGAUAGAACCUUUGUUCCUCUUAGUAUCAGAGCAGACAGGACCAUUUGGUGUAGUUCUCCUGUUCCUCUUAGUGUAGUACUCAUGUUCUACUCUCUGUAGUUCUCCUGUUUAUCUCAGUAUAGUUCUACUGUUGUAUUCUGUGUAGUUCUCCUGUUCCACUGGGUGCAGUUCUCCUGUUCUACUCAAUGUAUUACUCGUGUUCCUCUUAGUGUAGUACUUGUGUGCUACUCAGCAUAGUUCUCCUGUUCUACUCAGUGUAGUUCUCCUAUUCCUUGGUGUAGUACUUGUGUUCUACUCAGUGUAGUUCUCCUGUUCUACUCAGUUCCCCUGUUCCACAGGGUGUAGUUCUCCUGUUCUACUCAGUUCUCCUGUUCUACUCAGUGUAAUUCUCCUCUUCUACUUGGUGUACUUCUACCAUUUUAUUCAGUAUAGUUCUACAGUUUUAUUUAGUGUAGUUCUCCUGUUCUAGUGUGUAGUACUUGGUGUAGUACUCAUGUGCUACUUGGUAUGGUUCUCCUGUUCUACUCAGUGUAGUUCCCCUGUUCUACUCAGUGUAGUUCUCCUGUUCCUCUCAAUGUAGUUCUCGUGUUCCACUCAAUGGAGUUCUCCUGUUCUCCUCAGUGUAGUUCUCUUGUUCCUCUCAAUAUAGUUCUCAUGUUCCACUCAAUGGAGUUCUCCUGUUCUCCUCAGUGUAGUUCUCUUGUUCCUCUCAAUAUAGUUCUCGUGUUCCACUCAAUGGAGUUCUCCUGUUCUACUCAGUGUAGUACUCCUGUUCAACUUGGUGUGGAUCUACCAUUUUAUUCAGUAUAGUUCUAGCGUUUUAUUCAGUGUAGUUCUCCUGUUCUACUCAGCGUGAACCCUGCAGUCUCCACUUUACGAGGUGGACAGGUCCUGUUCCUCCGCAUGUCCACUGAAUCCAAUCCAAUAAUUCCUCUGAAGUGUACAUAAUGAUUAAAAGUAGCACUUACAAUUUCCUCCCAGCUAAAUGUGAAAGCAUGCGCAAAUGAAAUAUGUUCACAAACCCACACUUGUCAUUUGUGAAUUGAAGGAGUCUAUUGGGAGCCAGUGUGAGCACCAGAGACUGUGUGUGUGUGUGUGUGUGUGUGUGUGUGUGGACAUCAAUUCUGAGGCGGUAAUAUUUGUGAGCGAGUGUGUUUACUCCGAGGCCCAGCUGCACUAAUGUACUGUUAAUCAUGCUGCCUCUGUGAGUGGCAGGGAGUUAAAGUGCACUUCCAGAGCAUCGCUUAUUACCACCUUCCGCUAUAAACAUAAGUACACACACACAGAGUUCAUGUGCGUAUACACUUACACAAUCACACAUAAAUACACAAGCUAACCAUCCACACACACACAGAGCCAGGCAUAAAUCAGCUGUUCUGUGACACCAGAGACAAAUGGCCAAUAAAAGUGCCAAGGGUGUUAACACACAUGUUUGGGGCACAAUCAAAUCAAUUUCCUCUAAGUAGCCAUAAACAUGUUGUCCUUUAAAAGGCCCAAGCCGGGGCUCCAUUAUGCGCCAGGUUCUCCAAUCAGGCCUGCUAGGACAAGUGUUCCUGCUGUGUCUAAAUCUCUCAGCGUCCAUCCGAAACCUUCUGAAAGAAGUAAGACUGAAACUGAGCAUCCCAUUAAUCACAGCUUCCCAAGAAGCUCCAUGACAAAAAGCAAAGGUCUGAGAGCACAGGAGGGCUCAGUGGCUCAGCAGGAGGUCGAGGUCCAGAGAUCGGCUUCUCUUUGACUCCAGGUCCCAGGAUGCCCUGCAGGCCUGCGAAGAAACCCAACAGACAAGGAGCAGCCUUGUGCUCACGUUCUGACGAUUUAUUGUGCUUCCAGGGGACAGAGUUGCUCAGUGAUAUCAGCCCGCAACGCUAAUUCUGCUCAAUGCUCUCUCUAUUAUCAUACAGCGUUUUGGGUUUUUCCACAGGAGGCACAGGGGCAGUAAAUGAAGCCCAUGCCUCCCCUGCUGUGUGAGAUUGUAAUUGUAAUUGACCAGAACAAGUCCUUACAUAUGAACCCUCUGUAAACUGCCCCCCACCCUGUAUUAGCCAAGCAGAGGGAUCUGGUUCCCACUCAUGGGAGACGGCACUUUCAACCAAACCCGGUUAAUAUUCAAAGCCUCAUUAAAAAUGAAUCAGUGGGCCGUUAAAAAAAAAGAAAGAUAUCCAGGCACAUAUGAGAAGACGAAAUCCAGGCAUUUAUUUUUAAUUAUACUUUAUGUUUUAAAUUUGUCCAGAAUGCUCCCCAAGCUCCUGUUGCAGUCAACUAAAGACACAAAAACGGUAAAAUACCUACGUCGAGAGGGGUUGUAAACCCCCAAAUUGGGGCAAUCUCACACUGGAUUGGUCCGGAGAGACCGUGGUUCAUUUCUACUGCUGAAAUAUUCAAGAGCUUCUCAUUGGCCUCAGAGGCACCGAGUAGGAUCAGGCCGAGUGUUCAUGUUCCAACAGACGGAGUUUAAAGUACAGCAGAGAAACUCUAUAGAGAGGCUAUAGAAAACACAAAAACAGAAUAUAGAAUUCGUAGAUCAUGGAUCUUCUCCUUGCCAUGUCUGUCUGACCCUCUUCCCAAACACAAUUUCUAUAAUGUCAUUUAUGAACGAGGCCAAAGAAGCCGCUGUGUGUCAUCGGGACUCAGUGGACAGGCAGGAAAUGAGGACUGACACAUGACAGAUUCUUAGGUUUGUGCAAUCAGACAGCUUGAGCCCCAACACUCGGCUCGACGAAACCUUCUGCUCGACCCUCUACGUACCAAACAACCCACCGAUCAACCGAGAGUUCGGGUGUCAAUCCGGCAGAACGGAUUAUUAACUCUCCCAUGAAGGGGUCAAGUCAUAUUCAUCACCACUAAUCAAGUCAGGCAGAGCACGAAUAACAUCAUCACUCCAGGGACAUUUGCCCUAGAAAGCGCCCUAUGAACCCAUAACCUCAUCGACCGCAAGGCCUCGCUCCAGCCUCGGGCGAAUCACACGGCGAGUCGCUCAGGCAAGCAGGAUCGACGGUUCAGUUCAUCCACAAUGCUGUUAGUGAACACUCAGAUAUGAACACCUGAGAUAUGAAAGCAGCUGAUCUUCAUCACCAGGAGGUAAAAAAGAAGGCAAGGUGGUGGUGAGGGGGAGGACGGUGGACAGAGAGGCCAUGUAAUCCUCGCCUGAAUAGCUGGACUUCCUAAACACAGGCAACAUGGAGCCGGAUCUCUGACCUGUCCACUCAGCACAAAGCUUUCACUCCCCAGAGCUGGAGUUAAUAAUUCAAUACAGCUCAGGAGAGAGAGAGAGAGAGAGAGAGAGAGUGGGGAAAGGGAGAGAGAGAGAGAGGCAGACAGACAGACAGAGAGAGAG